GGCCAUAGUGGGUGAUAGCCCUGUACGCGAAAAUCCCUUUGCAAUGAAAUCGAGUAGGACGGGGCACGAGAAACCUUGUCUGAAUAUGGGGGGACCAUCCUCCAAGGCUAAAUACUACUGACUGACCGAUAGUGAACCAGUACCGUGAGGGAAAGGCGAAAAGAACCGCGGAGAGCGGAGUGAAAUAGAUCCUGAAACCGUAUGCGUACAAGCAGUGGGAGCCCACUUUGUUGGGUGACUGCGUACCUUUUGUAUAAUGGGUCAGCGACUUAUUUUCAGUGGCGAGCUUAACCGAAUAGGGGAGGCGUAGCGAAAGCGAGUCUUAAUAGGGCGUCUAGUCGCUGGGAAUAGACCCGAAACCGGGCGAUCUAUCCAUGGGCAGGUUGAAGGUUGGGUAACACUAACUGGAGGACCGAACCGACUACCGUUGAAAAGUUAGCGGAUGACCUGUGGAUCGGAGUGAAAGGCUAAUCAAGCUCGGAGAUAGCUGGUUCUCCUCGAAAGCUAUUUAGGUAGCGCCUCAUGUAUCACUGUAGGGGGUAGAGCACUGUUUCGGCUAGGGGGUCAUCCCGACUUACCAAACCGAUGCAAACUCCGAAUACCUACAAGUGCCGAGCAUGGGAGACACACGGCGGGUGCUAACGUCCGUCGUGAAAAGGGAAACAACCCAGACCGUCAGCUAAGGUCCCAAAGUCAUGGUUAAGUGGGAAACGAUGUGGGAAGGCUUAGACAGCUAGGAGGUUGGCUUAGAAGCAGCCACCCUUUAAAGAAAGCGUAAUAGCUCACUAGUCGAGUCGGCCUGCGCGGAAGAUGUAACGGGGCUCAAACCAUGCACCGAAGCUACGGGUAUCAUCUUUUGAUGAUGCGGUAGAGGAGCGUUCUGUAAGCCUGUGAAGGUGAGUUGAGAAGCUUGCUGGAGGUAUCAGAAGUGCGAAUGCUGACAUGAGUAACGACAAUGGGUGUGAAAAACACCCACGCCGAAAGACCAAGGUUUCCUGCGCAACGUUAAUCGACGCAGGGUUAGUCGGUCCCUAAGGCGAGGCUGAAAAGCGUAGUCGAUGGAAAACAGGUUAAUAUUCCUGUACUUCUGGUUAUUGCGAUGGAGGGACGGAGAAGGCUAGGCCAGCCUGGCGUUGGUUGUCCAGGUUUAAGGUGGUAGGCUGAGAUCUUAGGUAAAUCCGGGAUCUCAAGGCCGAGAGCUGAUGACGAGUGUUCUUUAGAACACGAAGUGGUUGAUGCCAUGCUUCCAAGAAAAGCUUCUAAGCUUCAGGUAACCAGGAACCGUACCCCAAACCGACACAGGUGGUUGGGUAGAGAAUACCAAGGCGCUUGAGAGAACUCGGGUGAAGGAACUAGGCAAAAUGGCACCGUAACUUCGGGAGAAGGUGCGCCGGUGAGGGUGAAGCAUUUACUGCGUAAGCUCAUGCCGGUCGAAGAUACCAGGCCGCUGCGACUGUUUAUUAAAAACACAGCACUCUGCAAACACGAAAGUGGACGUAUAGGGUGUGACGCCUGCCCGGUGCCGGAAGGUUAAUUGAUGGGGUUAGCGCAAGCGAAGCUCUUGAUCGAAGCCCCGGUAAACGGCGGCCGUAACUAUAACGGUCCUAAGGUAGCGAAAUUCCUUGUCGGGUAAGUUCCGACCUGCACGAAUGGCGUAACGAUGGCGGCGCUGUCUCCACCCGAGACUCAGUGAAAUUGAAAUCGCUGUGAAGAUGCAGUGUAUCCGCGGCUAGACGGAAAGACCCCGUGAACCUUUACUAUAGCUUUGCACUGGACUUUGAAUUUGCUUGUGUAGGAUAGGUGGGAGGCUUUGAAGCGUGGACGCCAGUCUGCGUGGAGCCAACCUUGAAAUACCACCCUGGCAACUUUGAGGUUCUAACUCAGGUCCGUUAUCCGGAUCGAGGACAGUGUAUGGUGGGUAGUUUGACUGGGGCGGUCUCCUCCUAAAGAGUAACGGAGGAGUACGAAGGUGCGCUCAGACCGGUCGGAAAUCGGUCGUAGAGUAUAAAGGCAAAAGCGCGCUUGACUGCGAGACAGACACGUCGAGCAGGUACGAAAGUAGGUCUUAGUGAUCCGGUGGUUCUGUAUGGAAGGGCCAUCGCUCAACGGAUAAAAGGUACUCCGGGGAUAACAGGCUGAUACCGCCCAAGAGUUCAUAUCGACGGCGGUGUUUGGCACCUCGAUGUCGGCUCAUCACAUCCUGGGGCUGAAGCCGGUCCCAAGGGUAUGGCUGUUCGCCAUUUAAAGUGGUACGCGAGCUGGGUUUAGAACGUCGUGAGACAGUUCGGUCCCUAUCUGCCGUGGACGUUUGAGAUUUGAGAGGGGCUGCUCCUAGUACGAGAGGACCGGAGUGGACGAACCUCUGGUGUUCCGGUUGUCACGCCAGUGGCAUUGCCGGGUAGCUAUGUUCGGAAAAGAUAACCGCUGAAAGCAUCUAAGCGGGAAACUUGCCUCAAGAUGAGAUCUCACUGGAACCUUGAGUUCCCUAAAGGGCCGUCGAAGACUACGACGUUGAUAGGUUGGGUGUGUAAGCGCUGUGAGGCGUUGAGCUAACCAAUACUAAUUGCCCGUGAGGCUUGACCAUAUAACACCCAAGCAAUU
rnacentral:rRNA from 1 species